GAUAAAAAUUUAUGAUUUAAAAAAUUUAUUUUAAGUUUAAUUUACAUAUAAAUUUUAGUGUUAAUUUUAUUAAAUUUAAAUAAUUUGAUAAUAAAUUUCAUAGUAAUUAAAAUUAAAAAUUUAAGAAAUUAAGAUUUAGUAAUAUUUAUAUUUAAAUAACAAAUUUUGUGCCAGCAGUUGCGGUUAUACAAAAAUUUAAAUAAAUUUUAUUAGU
rnacentral:rRNA from 1 species